GCUCCAGUAGCGUAUAUUAAAGUUGUUGCAGUUAAAAAGCUCGUAGUUGGGGCACCUGGCCGCCGUCGUAGACGUGUGAGUGCCGGAGUGCCUGUUUCAUCCUUCCAGAAUGCAGUUCUGCCUCACGGGUGGGAGCUGUUAUCUGGAUCUUACUUUGAAGAAAUUGGAGUGUUUAAAGCAGCUUACGCCAGAACAUAUUA
rnacentral:rRNA from 1 species